UCCAUCCUGGAAGGAGUUUAAGGCAGCUGGCCACAUGUGUCUGCAGCCAGGGGGCCAGAAUCAGAGGGAUACCUUUCUCCUUUGUGUUCAUCCAAGACCCCAGACACAGGAUGGUUCCACCCACAUCAGAAGCUCCCUUACAGACAAGCCCAGUGUGGUGUUUCCAUGGUGAUUCAGAAUCUUAACACAUUGACAAUCAAGAUUAUCAUACCUACGGACAGUCUCUAAAACAGGCCUGGAUUGUCAAAAGUCCCUUGCCUGAGAAUCUUAUUCAGCAGGUUAAAGGGAGUAAUCAUACCACCGGGGAAAUCUGAAGGUUGACACCACAGACUUUGCUUUGGGCUGCCACUAUACCCAUGGGUCCUGCUUUGUUUUGUAGAGGUUUCACAUAGCCCAGACUAGCCUAGAAUUCAGUCUAUAGUUGAGGCUGGCCUUGACAUCCUGAUCCUCCUUGCCUCCACCUCCCAAGUGCUGGGAUUACAGGCAUACACCACCACUCCUAGUUCUGAGGGACAAUCUAUAUGACUGGACUGACUCUAUCGACAGAACGACACAACGAGCACCCCUGCUCACUGUGUUGCUCCCCUCAUCUUCCCAUAGCGGUCUUCAGUAAUUCCCUGAAGCCCAAGCCUGUUCCUUAUAGCUACAUAAAAAUCAGUCAUGAGGUCCCUCUUGGAAUGUGUUUGCUGUCAUACUCCCAUACAUAAGCAUGGUGUUAAAAUAGAUUUUCUUCUUUAAUCUGGCUACUGAGUUUGUUUUAUGAACUCAAACAUCAAGAGGGCAAGGGAUGAUUUUCUUUAGCAAUUUUUUUUUUUAAUUGAUUUUUCAAGACAGGGUUUCUCGUUGUAGCCUUGGCUGUCCUGAAGCUUGGCUCUGUAGACCAGGCUGGUUUUGAACUCAUGAAGAUCUGCCUGUUUUUAUCUUCCAAGAUCUGGGAUUAAAGGCAUGAACCAUCAUAGCCUAGUCAGGAUUAACUAAUAUUUCUCCCUCUCCAUCUACUCAGUGGCAGGUACAAAAGCGGCAACCAUUCUUGAACCUCCUAACAGAAGCACUUGGAGAGACAGACAAAAGACAGACAAAAACAGGGUCCUUCUGAGACCUCGGAUUUUGAUGCUGAAAUACCCAUUGAAUUUGCAUGUCACCCCAACUCCACUAUUUUGCUAACAUUCCCACCUUCCCCUGGGGUAAGGCAAGCCCCACAGAGCCACCUGCCUUCAUGGUGGUGGGAUUCCCCAAGACUAACAUUUCUUCCCUUUUGAAGCAGUCUUCAGAAGUCAGGUCUCAGGUGGCAGAGGAUUUUCACAGGCAAUGAGGUGGACAGUCGUGGCCCGGGGCCAGCAUCUCUCUCACCUGCUGUCAGGAAGGCUUGUGGAGUGGGGAAGGACUCACUUAAGCUGCAGUCUGACCAAAAGGAGAGUGUCCAGAGGGCCUCAUUGACAGCUCAAGAGAGCAGACAACCAGCAUAUUCUGAACAUCUGCCAGGAGGCAAGAAUUCAGCAGGUCAUAAAGCCUCGCAAAUAUCUGACCACCCCACAAAGCAAAGAUCACAGAGAUGUAGUGCUUUCCUCCAUGUACUUGGGCUGGACAAGUUUGCCUUGGCUCUGUUCACUAAAGCCUUCCCCAGCAUCAUAUAGUUUAUUACAAUUUAUUCAGUUUGUAUGCCUGCUGUGGCCCCCUCAUCUCCUCCCAAUCCCCCUCUCCCUUCCUCUUCUCCCCCUAUGCCCCUCCCCUAGUAUCCUUCUAUUUGACCCUAGCCUAUCAGGUCUCAUCAGGAUUGGUUGUACUGUCUUCCUCUGUGGCCUGGCAAGGCUGCACCCCCCAGGGGGGAGGUGAUGAGAGCCUACCACUGAGUUCAUGCCAGAGAAAGCCCCUGCUUUCCUUACUAGGAACCCCACUUGAAGGCUACAUCUGAGCCAGGGUUUUACCAGAAGCAGAAAGACACACAUGGUAUACGCUCACUCAUAAAUGGAUAUUAGCCAUGUAAUAUAGGAUAAACAUGUUAAAAUCUAUACUCCUAAAGAAGCUAAACAAGGAAGACCCUGGAAGAUGCUCAAUCCUCAUUCAGAAGGGCAAAUGUGAUAGACAUCAGAAGCAGAAGACAGGGAAUAGGACAAAAGCCUACCACAGAUGGCCUCUGAAAGACUCUACUGAUCGAGGGCAUCAGCUACUGACCUGGCAAGCGACCAAGGCCAGACUGCACCUUCUGUCUUAGCAAGGACAAUAUGCCUGGGAGGCUGACUUGCCCAAGACCAUUCAAUCCUUGGAGAAUGCAUGCCUGAGGAUGUCAUCGUGUAGCACCUACCACCUCUCACCCCAACAGAGCCCAUG